CAACCAAAUCAGCUGAGUCGCCGCCUUGUUUAUUCUAGGUUAUGGCAUCAUGCAUCUCUUCAAAAUUCCGCCCAGUUUGAGAAAAAUUGAAUAAACUCCAUUUUAAAUUUCUUGAAAAAUUAUCUGUGAAAAUGAAAUUCUUGUGGUUCUUAGUGAAUUUUUAUUACUUUAUACCUCGACGGCGUUUGGCAAUGCGCUCGAUGAUAUGCGAAUGGCAAGCCUCAUAGACCCCACCAACGUGCAUCCAUCAAAAAUCAUCGAUCCGAAAUUUCUCUCCAUGCUUGGUGCACACGGGGGAAAUAUCGAGACCUCAAGGCAAUCUAUGAAAAUCCCCGACGAGAGCACCAAGGUUGUCUUAAAGGAAAAAGAGCAUGAAGAGGGCCAAUCCGAAGCGCAUAUCCCAUCCGAAGAAAAAGUGUCCCAAGGGAUCCACGUCUCGCCUCAUCCCAAUGACAGAGAGGAAAGUGACUUAAAAGAAACGGCAGCAAGACAAGGGAAGGAUGAAGAGAAGUCCACGGAGGAGGACUCUCAUGAGCCGAAAGCCAGCAAUAUCCAUGAAGAAACCAUGGGGCCGCACGAGCCUGAGAAUGAGAGAACGAGCUCGGGAGACCGCAGUGCAAGUUCAAACCAUGGAGGCCAGCGCGAAAACGAAGAGCCCAACGUGACCAGGAACCGGUUCAACCAAGCCCAACCUCCAUCCGAACCGGAAGUGAUGACCGAAAGAGCGACGACGGAAGAAAGCAACCUCACUGGAAAUCGAUACGGUCAGGAUCGAGACCUCAUCGAGUCGGACGGUAGCUCGAAGAAUGGUCCCGAGGAGAGUAGUCUGCAUGGGAAUAAAUACUCUCAGACGAUAGAGCACGCGAAACCGGUAUCCAGGAUUCCUCCUUCCGGUAACGUCUCGCAGGUUGCGUCCACGACACAACCUACGACAACGCCAGCAGCGACUCAUCCGACUGCGAACGCAAGUAUGACAGCGAUUGCCAACGACAGCCUCACGUCGGCCCGGAAGAAUCCUCCGGAACUAAAGGAACCGACUCCCGGACCUUUCGGGCUCAUGGACCUCGCGAACCUGCCGGCCGGCAGUUCUCCGGUCCACGUGCGAGCCCAACCGCUUCCGCACUCGCACUCCCACUUGGUCCAAGACGACGAAGUAAGCGGUGACUCGGAUCAAGAGAUCGAACCCAUCAGAGCGUUCGAUCUGGUAAAGAGGAAGCACAAACACCUGACGGAGAAAAAACCGAACUCACGUCCUCUAAUGGUAACCAACGGUAAGAGAUUCAGACCAGUCGCGAGUCAUGGAUUCUUGGCGCUCCCCUCGGCGCAGGUCACGAGCACGAGGGCUCCCGAGGAAUUCGAGCUGACCCAAACACCCGGAGACAUCGCUAUCGAUGAAGUCUUCGAAGAGACCAACUUAACGGGCUCCAGAUUCCACCAGGGAACUGGCGACAACUCGCCGAGCGAUGAGACCAUUGUCACGGACAUCGUCACGGAAGAGACCGAUUUAACCGGCUCCAAAUACCGUCAGAUCCCCGACAAUUCGACGAUCUCGACGACGGAGGAUACGGAUCUAACGGGGACGAGGUACCACCAGGACAACGCGAAUCACUCGUGGGUCAACUCGCCCGAAGUCGGGAACUCUAGCCGCGGUCAGGAAGAAGACCCUGGGGAGGGGGAUGACGGAAGUCGCUUGACUGGGAACAAGUUCAGCCAAGGGCUCAAACUCCCGGAGUCCACCACGACAUCGUCCACGACCACGACGACCACCACCCAGGCCACCACGGUAAAAACCUGGCAGCCGCCCGAUGAUCUGAAGCUAGUCAACGACGAAAAAAACAUCAUGAAAUGUUGGGGAGAAAGUCGACGAGUAGUUUUUUAUACGGGAAUGCGAGGAGAGUAG
rnacentral:lncRNA from 1 species